rnacentral:tRNA from 1 species
AAAAAUUUAGUUAAUAAAUAACACUAGCUUGUCAAGCUAGAAUAAAUACAAAAUAUUAAUUUUUA